UAAGUUUUGCUGGUUCGUGUGAGAGAUUGUGUCCCAAUUAAUAUCGUGCAAAGGUGAUAAGUGCACGUUAGGAUAGGAAUAGGAGUUUGCUUUUGGAGGUGGAGGUGGGCAAGACGAAGAGGAGUACCUCGUGAGUUAUAUGUAUUGGCUUGACGAGUUGUUUCAAGAGUCGAUUCACGAGAUCUUUUGGGGACUGUCAGAGAGACAAGUCAUGUUCGCCCGUGAGCACAUGAAGGACAUGUGGAGGCGACUGACUAAAGUAGUGAUGAAUGAUGUGAGACUUUGUUCCCAUUAUGAUAUUUUUGCCGAAGCGGUGAGGUAACAAGUUGCCAUUUGGGAGUCUUCCUAGGGACCGGUAUAGGACUUGCCUAAUAGUGGAGCACAACCUGGCACUUAGUUAGUCAAAGCCACUGUGAGGGUGUCGUCAUAGCCACUAGAGGGACCCGUUGAACCCAGUUCUAGCGUAGCUAGCAAUGAGGACUUAGCGUACCUGGCAGAUGAAGUUACCUCGGUUGCCAAGGGUGACGAGGGGAGUUUUAGUUAGUAUGAUUGGUAGGGGGCUGUAAUGCAAAUGUGUGGUUGUAAAUUACGAGUUUUAUAAGGAUGAGAAUUAUGUGAGAAACAUCAUAUGCAAUGUUUGAGGGUAUUAUGUAAUGAGGUCGUGGUAGAAUGUGACCUGGAGGUUCAUGAUUGAAUUUUGCCAGGAGUGAUACGGGAAGGUCCCACCAUGUGAAAAUGUGCUAUAGGAGUUCGAUGGUUAAUGGUAGAUCCGUAGGCACCGAGAUGUGUGCUUGGUGUGAAUGUAUUUACGAUAAGGCUAGGGUCAAUCUUAUUCCAAGAGAGAUCUAUGAUAGGAAGUAACCGAGGGACUAUUACAGGAAUUAUGGACUUGGAGUUUACAGUGGUUAUGUUAUUUGGAGAUUUAGCAUCACGACCUAAAUAGGGUAUAGGUCUUUAGUUCUCACAGGUGAAGUAGAGUUCAGGUGACGCCGCGAUUGGCGUGUCGAAAGACUAAGGCUGUGAGGUUCUGUAACAAAUAGGGUAAAGUAAAUGUGGUAACAGGUGUUUUAGGCUAUCGUGGUGCAUCCGUGAUAAUGUGAAUUAGAAGUAAGGAAAACCCCUCUACGUUUGGUGUUGUGGGAGAUACCCCGGUGUAUGGCCACGGCCGAAAUUGGAUACAGGUCUAAGUAACUAUUGGGUUCUGCUGCAAGGAUAGUAGUUGCUAUGAGUACGCGCGGUGCUAAUCACGGACCACAUGCCCUAGGGUCGGAUUAUUGACCGAGAGAGGAGAUGAGACUCCUUUGGGUGCUGGUCAAGUGGUACAUCGGCAAAAACAUGAGAUGGCUUGUUAUGCCAGUCAGAGGAACGCUUAACCCACAUCUUUAGGUUGCUUUUCGUUUUUGAGGCGACUUAUGAGAUGUCGUGGGAAUGGAAUAGUUUCUGAUACGGUGAGGUGUUUUUAGUCGUACAGGCUAUAGAGUAAAUAAGAUCGGUUCUAAAGAUCGAGUCCCAACUACCGUAUAAGGUUUUGAGGAGGUCAGGGUUAAUAUUUAGUGAUCGAGAAGAAGUAUGGCCAAUUAGCUAUUUGGAGUUAAGAUCGGCGGCAGGUCAAGAUUGAGGGUUGGUGGUCACCGAAUAAGUCAAAAUUAGGUGUGUUGAUUCCUUUAAGGAGGGGAGAUCUGGCGACAUUUAAGAUCUCGAGGUGUAUUGAGGGGGGAACGUGUAACCUUUGAUAGUUCUGAUUAAAUGGCUACUCAUGUUUAUUAACAGGACCCCGAACAUACGCGGCAAAUUGUGGGAGAAAGUACUGCCGAGAAAAUGCUAUGUAUCUGGUUAAGAAUCAGUUGAAAAAGUCAGACUAAAGGAUAUUGCUGUUGAAUCCUUGAUUGAGCAUGUGGUAUCAUUUCCAUGUACCUAUGUAUCGCAAGUACGUGGCAGGUUUUAGUCACGUUACUGAGCAUUAAUUUCUCGUCAUGUAAGAGAAUGGCCCUACUCCUAUCGUUAUCAGUUGAGUUAUGAGAUGGUAAUAGAGGAACCUUGAUGAUGUCUCUUAAGCUGGUUAAGGUAUUAGUGGUCAUAUCGUGGCUCUAUUGAGGUGAUGGAUUGUGAAGUUGUGCUAGUGUGUUAAGUCAAUGGGAACUGGAAAAUGAUGAUAUGGAAUGUUCCAGAAAUGUUGAUGAGUAAUAUCAUGAGAAUUGUGAGUGUAUCUUGAGGACAUGGACUGAGCGCGAAUUUCGAGGACGAAAUUCUAUUAAGGAGGGGAGAACUGUAAUAUCCCGAAAUUUCGGUAAUGAUAUUAAUUAUUAAAUUUUGAUUAAUUAUUAAAUUUUGGCAUUUGAGGAUUUAAGCUAAUCAAAGAGUGGUAAAAAUAAUACUGCUAAUAAUAAAAAAUGUGUAAAUUAUGUUAACUUAAUUUGAAUUAAUUAAUUAAUACAUAUUGAUAAUAUAAUCAAAAUAAUAAUAAUGAGUUAAGAAAUUAACUUAAAUUAAUUAAUUAAUAAGUUUAAUUUGUGGCUGUGGUGCGCGUGAAUGGCUUGGAGGCCAAGAUUGACACAGUGACCUUCUCCAAAAAAAUCUAAACACAGAGAGUGAGAGACAGAGGGAGCGAGCAGGGAGAGAGCUCACGAGAGAUUGAGGGGGAGAGAUCGAGACCGAGAGAGAUUGAGGGGGUGAGAUCGAGACCGAGAGAGUGAGGAAGAGAGAUCGAGAGAGAGGGAUGGCCAAUCGGCCAUGGCAGCCACUGCCAUGGCCGACGAGGAGCAGCCGCGGCUUGAAGAAGUCGCGGCCAUGGCGACGUGAAGCAGCGGCAGUUGGGGCGGCGCGGUGGCGCGCGGUGAUGGCCGGAGGCAGGCCCGGCGACCAGCGGAGGGCCGGACAGUGAAGGCCGGCCGCAGCCAUGCGUGGUUGCAGGCGGCCGGAUGCGUGGGAGGAGAAGAAGGAGGCAGCAGCACGGGGAAGAAGAAGAAGAAGAAGAAAGGAAGAAGAGGAAAAUGAAGAAGAAAAGAAGAAGAAUGAAAGGAAAGGAGAAGAAGAAAUGGAGUUGCAGGCGCGGGUGAAGCAGGGAAGAAGAAGAAGAAGAAGAAGAAGAAGAAGAGGAAGAAAAUAAAGAAAAAAAUAAAGGAAUUUUGAGAUUUUUCAACAAGGGAAGUGAUCAGGAAAUGAUUUAAUUUGCCUCGGGAGCUUGAGAGAGGUCAGAAUCAACUAGUUCCAGGCAAUGGCGGCGUGGGCCAUAGCAAGGGAGUCAGCUUUAACGGCAGAGUCGGUGUGGUGUACAGGCAGUCUCGUCAAUCCCUAUCAACUCUGAUGUCUAAGUAGAAUUUUACUCUAUUAUUUCGUACUGUGCCAGGUGUUUUCUCGAGUCUUGUGUAUGUCGGCACAGAAGUUUUUGUUUAUUUAUUUAUCCUGUGACCGCUGUGUUAGCGGGGUACCCAUAGUGCAUGCAUGUCUUGAGCUUUGCUUCCGCUGUUCUUAUUUUUUGUGUAUGCAUGCCAGGGUGGUCUUUGUCUGGUGUCUCAUUCUUUUCUCCUCCCGUAGGCGCUCC